rnacentral:misc_RNA from 1 species
UGGGAAGUGUUUUCUCAGAGCACAAA